UACGAGGGGUCGUAGCGUUGUUCGGAAUUACUGGGCGUAAAGUGUGCGCAGGCGGCCGCGCAAGUCGAGUGUGAAAGCCCCGGGCUUAACUUGGGAAUUGCGCUCGAAACUACGUGGCUGGAGUGUGGCAGAGGAAGGUGGAAUUCCAGGUGUAGCGGUGAAAUGCGUAGAGAUCUGGAGGAACACCGAUGGCGAAGGCAGCCUUCUGGGCCAACACUGACGCUCAUGCACGAAAGCGUGGGGAGCAAACAGG
rnacentral:rRNA from 1 species